CCAAAAUUAGUCAAAGUCCAAUUUUUUUUUACAAAUAAUAAAAUAACCCAAUUAACCCAAAUAAAUCCUCAAACCCAAUAAAAAUAUAAAACCCAAUUAGCCCAAAUAACCCAUUACCCCAAGCCCAAAACACUAAGGAUUUUUUCGGCAGAAACCCUAGAAGUUUCAGCCACCGCAGCCUCUAGUCGAUUCUUCCACUCGUGCCAUGCUCCACGAACGACUCCUCCACGCCAUACACACCUGCAACAGAAAAUAACCACAAGCAAUGGACAGCAAAUGAGAUGAAAUUUGUAUUUUUUAUUUUAUUUAUUUAUUUUUGUUUUUCGGCUAUAAAACCGAGAAAAAACGGUGUAAAUGGUUUUUUUUUCUUUUUUCUUCUUGUCACAAAUAGCAGAGAAAUAUAUGCAGAUACUAAAAAUCCAUUCGAAAUUAGCUUUAAGGUAAUUUUAGAUUGUAUUCUUCUUUGAUUUUCAUUUCUGUUUCGUCAUUCUUUAUCUAUUGCAUGAAAAUAAAUUUAUAAGAAAGAAAAGAAAGAAAGAAGACUUAUCUGUUGUUGAAGGAGGCUUUGAACUCCUUGUUUGCUUCGUCGAAACUGAAAUCAAGGCGAAGAUUUUGAAGCCUAUGAGUAAGGCUUUCAGAUUUGUGGUCGAACGGGACUAAACUUGGCCCUUGUUUCAUGGCCGUUGGCUGAAUAUGGAGGCAAAGCAGCAGUGGAAAGGUCUCUUAGGUUCGGCCAAGUAAAUAGGGAAUAGGUUUUAGGGUAUUCUUUUUUUAUUUUAAUUGGCAUUUAAAUAGCUGCAUAUUGAAUUUUAGUUUUUUAGAAUUGAUUGUAUGCAGAAUUCAAAACGGUGACAUAAGCUGGAUCCACGCUUUGGUGCUUCAGAUGGUUAAUUUGCGCAUAUAGUCCUUUUCUUUCGCAUUGACUUUUUAAUUAGUCCUUAUUCACAUUUUAUUUGUUUUAAAUUUCUCCUUAGAAUUUGCGCGGCAUUUCAGUUUAGCCCGAAUUUAAACAUUGUGCUUUGAGACUCGGUAUAUUUCCAGUUUCGAUCCCUGCACAUUCUCGCACAUUGCAUUGUAGUUCUUUUUUUGAUUUCAAUAGUUUAAGUUAUUAAUUAUCCCUUUCAUUUUAA
rnacentral:lncRNA from 1 species